GCGCAUUUGAGAAAUGAAGGUUGCUCUGCAUCUACCCAGCAUACUAAGUAUUUAUUCUGCUUCUAGGCACUGCUUGUAUUUGUGGAACUCUUGGAGCAAUUUUGUAGCAUCCUUACAACAGACAUCCUCAUCCAAAGACUGGGAAAUUCACUGGAAAGCUUCCGUGGAUUAGGACGAUAUUUACAAGGGCUGUUGGAGGGACUCCAUGGUGAUUUCAGAGGAUCUCUUCUCUAAACAUUCCUGUCCCGAGAUGUGUUGAGGAUGAUCCGCUGAUGUAUGGGUUCACAUUCUUUCACCUUAAAAUUGGGAAAAUCUUUAUACAAGUUUCAAAGAGAAAUAAUAAAGUGAAUGUGAGCUUUUAGGACCCAGCUUUCUCCUGGACCUCCACUGGGAACCUAGAAAUGAUUCAUCAGAAGUCUGGCUAUCCUCUACCCUGACAGCACAUAGAGGCAAGUGAUAGAGGAGCCACAGUGUAUCCAGAACCUGACUGACAUAAAGCACUGUAGCCUAAGUGCUGAUACA